rnacentral:rRNA from 1 species
UACGUAGGUGGCAAGCGUUGUCCGGAAUUAUUGGGCGUAAAGCGCGCGCAGGCGGUCCUUUAAGUCUGAUGUGAAAGCCCACGGCUCAACCGUGGAGGGUCAUUGGAAACUGGGGGACUUGAGUGCAGGAGAGAAGAGUGGAAUUCCACGUGUAGCGGUGAAAUGCGCAGAUAUCAGGAGGAACACCGGUAGGCGAAGGCG